UUGUGGUGGGCGGCGGUCUCCGAGGGCAACAUGGCGUCCAGGGGCAGACCGGCUCUCAGGUCGUCUGCGAUGCUGCGUAGCGUCACCGUCCUGUUGUCCAGCAGCAGCUCGUCCAGCUCGUCUGCAGAAGCACACACGCACGGCCUUCUGGGUAAUCACGCACACGAUCACUUCCUGAAGCACGACUUUAUUCAUUGUGAGGCGUCCGUGACGUCAUCCAGCCACGGGUUGAACGUGUCCUUCUCCCGCUGUGUCGAGUCUUUACGUCAUAACAAUCAGAGAGGCGCUCGCGCGGACCGGAUGUUGACCGUUGAGCACGUGUUUACCUGAGUGUGAGAUCCAGUGCAGCAGCUUCGGCAGCUCGGCGGGAACCACUCUGCUCAGCAGCUGCUUCAGCUCCGACCUCGCCUCGGUGAAGUCCAUGGUGAGGAGGGACCGGGAGAAGGGACCGGGAGAAGCGGCUGCACGAGGCGGCUGCAGCUCCGCUCUGGAGCUCACAGGACCCGGUCGGCGCGUUAAGGUGGAACCGGGAACACGAGCUUCAUCGAACCAACGAUCGAACAGGUUUUCACGUCAAGUCGCCUCUCAGAGUGAAGUGACGUCAGACAUCUGACGUAGACGCGGAAAUGAGUGACUCAAGACGCUUAGAUUUAAAAUGGCAUUGAUUUGUCCUUGCGACUGUUCAGACGACCUUAACAGACGCGUUCCCGCCCAGAAACACUGAACAACAACAACACAGUUGAACAGCUGGGACAAGACGACGUGUCACAGACAGAACUAGAUUUGUUUUGCCGAGUGUUUUUUACGCCGACUUGAGGAGCAGCUCGCUGUGGUUCAGAAAACCUCCACACUUUAAUCUUAUCGCUGUAUUUUUUACUGUAAAUCUGAAUGUUGCGCUAAUUCGGCGCAGAUCUUAGCGGGGUCUCGUGUUAGCUUCAAUGCUACAGAUCUCGCCGUCUGUCGGCGGCUGUGGGUGAAGGUUUUUUUAGCCGACAGUGAAUUCCGCUCAGAAAAGCGCUGGUUUGUGAAACUGCGCAGGUUUACUGAGAAAAUACAAAGACAAACGAGAAACGAAAAGCUCCUCUGAAUCAGAGCGAGUUGCUCUUGAAUUCGGUUUAUUAAUGUUUCCCCCAAAUGUUUUUUCUUCUGUUGACUUUAGUGAAGAGAAAUCAUGAGGUCGUUGUGGUGUGAAAGCAAAGAACUGAAGCAGAAGUUUGGUUCAAAUUAUUACAUUCUUGACACUUUGUAACAUCACAGCGAGUGUAUUAAUAACAUGUAUAUAUCUGCUGUCAACAGUCUAUUUAUUAAAUGUGUGUGUGUGAGUUGUGUC